UGAAGACAUUACUGUGCAGUAUCACCGGGGCCCUGUGGGAGGAGUCUCGAGUUUUGUGAAUGAUGGGACUGAGGUGUGAUUGGUGCCCCGUGAUUCUAGUGGAACAGAUUGAGUGUAAGAACAGUUUCGCUGGACCCGGAUUCUACACUCUGUAGAGUAGGGGUGAAGGCACCUCAUUGACUAGACAAGGAAUCAUGAAGAGACACUGGGACGCUCUGCUGGGGCUCCUGUGGGUCCAUGUUUGCUUAGUGACAGGGAUGAAGGUGGAGCAGAGCCCUUCAGCCCUGAGCCUGCAGGAGGGAGCCAGCUCUAUCCUCAAGUGCAAUUACUCUAGCGCAGUGAACAGUGUGCAGUGGUUCCGACAGAAUCCCGGGGGCGGAAGCCUCACCAGGCUGUUUUACAUAGCUUCAGGGAUGAAGCAGAGCGGGAGGCUAAACUGCACACUGAAUGCUAAGGAACUGUUCAGCACCCUCCACGUUGCGGCCUCUCAGCUGGAAGACUCAGCCACCUACCUGUGUGCGGUGGAGGCACAGUGCUCCCUGGUGAUCUGCAGCCUGCCCCCAAACUGCCGCUGGGCCUGCAGCACCAGCACUUCCCUGGGGAGGGCAUUUGCCCCCACAGCAGCCUGUGCAGUUUUACAAUUUCAGCUUUCUCUUACAAUACUUUUUUCCUCCUAAUAUUAGGUGCAUCAGUGCUGUUGUUUCACUUACUUUCCUUGCCCUUUUUCUUUCCAGAAAAAUUAUUUGUAGGUAAAAACCUCUAUGAAGGAGCUUGAAGCAAAUGAUAGAGAGGCGCACAUCCAAUGCCCUGAUAAAUAGAUCUCUGGCACUACCCCUAAAGUACCUGUAAAAUAAUAGAAAUAGAACAGGCUUAAAAAAAUGAUACCCAUCAACAGAUAGAAAUACCGAGAUUGUUUCUUAGCCUGUAGGUGGUCCGUGUUCAAGGAAAUGUGAAGAGAAUGUGUACAAUGUUCUUUUAAGUCUUUGUUAGCUUUUUCAGUCUUGGGAAUAGAAAUAGAAUUAUGUAUUUUUAUUGAAGUCCAGGAAUUCUACUUAUCCCACUACAUAUAUUUUCUGUUUCAGUAAUAUAAUCCCUGGUAAAGAAGUAGUUCAUUUUAUACAGGUACAAAGGGAAGAUUUUAGACUGUAAGUGACUUGGUUGAGCUCAUAUUAUUCCUAAGUUAAUAAUCUGAGGUGACAGGAGAGCUUAUCCUCUGAGUACCUGUUAUUGAAUGCCCUAUAGAAGCACAAGUCUAAAUGACUUCUACUGAUCAAUUUAUAUAAUGUGUGGACAUAUAUCACUGACCACGGUAUAUCCUUUUAAGGCAUUUUUAAAGAGCACCUUGUGGAGAAGAGCUUGUGGAGAUUUUCAUUCUGUUCCAUGAAAAUACAUUGCUCUUCCUCACGUUUUGAAUGAAUCUAUUACUCAUGAUUUUGUAACAUCAUUCCCAGGUUGGGAAAGGGAGCAGAAAGCUUCCAAGACUGUGCAGAGGAAUCUCUUCUCUGUUGUAGCCAGAGACAAAGACUUCUGAGACCAAACUCAAAGUUGAACCUAUCAUGUGGUCCAAUUACAGCAGAAAUUGAAUUCCAGCCUGUGCCGGUUUUUAUGUUCAUGCAGAACAUUGGUAGGAAGGACUGGGACCGUGAAAAAUCAGAUGGAGUUAGCUGGACAGACUCGCAGUAGCUGGGAGCAGAGGUAGCUUCUCGAAUAUGUGACCUGACAGUCACAGAGCCCGCAACUCUCCCAAGGACCCCUGCCCUUCAUUGAAUGCUGUGAAAUCCUAAGAAUGUGUUGCAAUUCCUAAUGAUUUUAUCUUCGUACUUGUCUUUAAUGAGUGAGUCCCAGAAGUGGGAGGAAUAGGUGCCUGAGCAGAAGCUAUACAUAGGGCAGCAGGACACAGGCAGGAACACGUGCAGGCUCAGGUUCUGGGUCACAGCAGGCUGUGUGUGAAGUGAGCUGUUGGCAGGACCACCUGCUGUGCCUGUGCCUGCUUUGGACUCUCUGGGGCUUUGGUAUGCAGCAAGGGGUGUAGUAAAGUUUGUUGGGAAAUUACUACAAAGGAAAGUGUAUACAUGGACAUUUCAAUAAAGGUAUUUGGCAGUUUCUUACACAACUAAACACAGUCUUUUUUUUUAAAAAAACAUUUUAUUUAUUUAUUUAUUCAUGAGAGACACA